UACGUAGGGUGCAAGCGUUAAUCGGAAUUACCGGGCGUAAAGCGUGCGCAGGCGGUUUUGUAAGUCUGACGUGAAAUCCCCGGGCUCAACCUGGGAAUUGCGUUGGAGACUGCAAGGCUGGAGUCUGGCAGAGGGGGGUAGAAUUCCACGUGUAGCAGUGAAAUGCGUAGAGAUGUGGAGGAACACCGAUGGCGAAGGCAGCCCCCUGGGUCAAGACUGACGCUCAUGCACGAAAGCGUGGGGAGCAAACAGG
rnacentral:rRNA from 1 species